UACGUAGGUGGCAAGCGUUGUCCGGAAUUAUUGGGCGUAAAGCGCGCGCAGGUGGUUCCAAAAGUCUGAUGUGAAAGCCCCCGGCUCAACCGGGGAGGGUCGUUGGAAACUGGGGAACUUGAGUGCAGGAGAGGAAAGUGGAAUUCUACGUGUAGCGGUGAAAUGCGUAGAUAUGUGGAGGAACACCAGUGGCGAAGGCGACUUUCUGGCCUGUAACUGACGCUGAGGAGCGAAAGCGUGGGGAGCGAACAGG
rnacentral:misc_RNA from 1 species